CUAGUAAUCGCAGAUCAGCAACGCUGCGGUGAAUACGUUCCCGGGGCUUGUACACACCGCCCGUCAAGUCAUGAAAGUCGGUAACACCCGAAGCCGGUGG
rnacentral:rRNA from 1 species